CAGCCUCCCUUUUGCUUGUUGAGAAGGUGAAGAAGGGAUAAGAAAUUGGCGUUUCACAUUAUCUGGUGUGCAGUUACUUAAAGGAUAAAAUGCAUAUACUCUUAUUUUUUUUUUAACUAAAUAGUAGAAUGAAAAUGUACCUCACAUAAUCUUCUUCGUUGUCUAUUCUUUAUUGUCCUUGUCCUUUUAUUUAUUUAUUUUAUAUCAUGACAAAUAGAGUUAUUUUAUGAGACCAACAGUGGAGCUGUAUAGUAUCGUUAUGUUAUGAAGUACUACUGCAGUAUAUAGUGCUUAUGCUGGGUAGCAGUUUCCGCAGGAAUAUCUCUUGGCUUCCAAAUGGUUCUUCCCCUAGCAAUUUCGGAUCCAUUCUCCAGGAGGAGCAAGUGUUCCAACUCAAUCACAUUAUUAUUAUUAUUACUAUUGUGACUGACGCCAUGUUUAACAAUUUUGGCCAGAGACUGCAGUACGCAAUCUGCCGUGCACUCUUUCCGGUACUCCAAAGUUAUGGCCGAAAGCUUGUGAUGUUCUACAAAAUAGCGGGGAACAGUCUGAAAGGAAGAAAUGAACGGAAACUUGUGAUUUAAUUGUGAUAAAAUUUUACAAGCAACUAGAAAGUUUUAGCAUGUUUGUUAUGUCGACAGAAAUGGGAAAGGUCUCCAACUUGAGUAAGCGCAUGUUGCAAAGGAAAGGCAACGCAAAGUGAUAUAGCAGAAGUAUACACCUUGAACAGUAACAGCAUUAAUUUUCUCAAACUGGGGAAGGUUUCAAGUUCAAGCCUUCGGAUAAACCAAAAAAGAAAAGAAAAGAAAAGAAAAUUACCCACCUCAAGAAUCCAGUUAAUGUACUGAACAUGGUUCACAUGCUGAUUGAGAUCAAGCUGAUCCCAUUCAGGCUGUAGUAGAAAGCAAAUUCAGACAAUCAAUUAAACAAGGCAAGCAUUGAAAGAAAAAACACAUGCAAAAGCAUUUAUUAAAGGACGGAGAAACAUCAUACAGAUGACUUACUUUUUCACCUUUACGAACAUAAUCUGCUGUAUCAACAUCGAGUCUCAGCAACUUUCUGCUAUCCUUAACAAUGACAGGGUCACAAUUCCUUAUAUGAGGAGUGAACUCUUCUCUGAUUUCUUCUUUAAGCUUGGAUAACUUCCUUGUUUUCUUAUUCAUUAACACACAUACACUGCACAUUUAAAUUUUUUAAAGAAAGGGAAGCAAAGUUAACUAAACAAUGACUAAAGAAAAAAUUCUUUCUACUGAUAAUCAAGAAAAGAAAUUCAAACCUGGUUGCUCGAGCCAAAGUAUUCCCUGUCUUGCCAUCACGAACAAUCCAGUCUCGACGUAUGCUAUUUUGUCCUGAUGGAUAAAACCAUGUGUCUACUUCUACAACAUCAAGCCUUGCAGUCAAUAAACAGUAUUAAUGGAUGGUUACAAAUUAAUUAUGAGAUGGAAGAUAAAAAAUUAAGCAAGCUGCAGAAUUGGGAAUUACCAGGAAGGAUAGCUAUCCACCACUAUCUGCAAAGCGCAGACUACCCAUAUCAAGUCCUGUCUACUCAUUUCAGGUGUUGAACCAAAAUCAUCAGCCCAUAUACCUAUAACUCUACACUGUUCAAGUGCUGUGUCCUAAACACCGAAACAAAUAUCAAAGACUAAUCAUAGAAUUUAUGCAGAGGAAAAUGAAGUUCAAGUUUAACCUGUAAAUAAUUGGUCAAGGCAGCCAAGGAUAGUUUUCUGUCAAAGCCUAUUUCAAAUGAUCUAACCGAAAAGUUUUGCCUGUAAACGAGGCCAUCUUGCACCAAGCUUCCACUUCCACCACUAAUAACAGCUUGGGAAAUAAUCUUCCUUCUUGAUGAUGGUGAAGCCAUACGCAUCUCGUACUUGACAGUUUUCUUCAUUUUGUUGAUGAUUUCAUUUUGCAAGGCUUCGACUUGGAAGUGCUUGUUAACUAGCAAGAAUCCGAUUGUAGCAGUAGCCAUUUUCUUUUUUCUGUUGAGCUUCGACUAAUUUGAGGUGAUAUUUAUAGAGAGGGUUUCCACCGGAUUUAUAUGAAUCUAUGCGGUAAAUAUAUGAGAUUUUAUGUGUACUGUUACUUGUGCAUGUGAUUACUGUGUAAUUUUUUCUAUUUAUGAACAGUGUGCUUAAUUUUUUUUUAUUCAUCUAAUUAAAUAAAAAUUUAAUAAAUUUAUUAAAUAUAAUUUUGAUUAAAUUAUAAUUAAUUUAGUAUAAUUAUGUUAAAUUUAAAAUUAUUAAAUUUUAUAUUCUUUUUUUCCUAAACGUAGAGGUUGAUGGUCUCUUAAAUGUUAUAUUGAUCAACCUCUUCCUUCCACUUUAUAAUUAUGGCCACAAACCUUAGCACCACGUAAGGCUAUAAAAUUAGACGUCGGAAAGCUGUACAAGUCUAAACUUUAAUUUUUACCAAACUUCCCCAUUUAAAUAAUUUUUUUUAUUAAAUCUAAUUAUUAUUCUUAAAAGACAUCAAAAAUCUAUUGAAAGAUUUAAAGGAAAAGAUAAUAUAGAAAAGAAAUUUUGAGAGAGUCUCACCGUUUUGUCUAGAGGCAAAAAGCUUCCUAAUUCCUACGAAAUAACUUACACAAAAGUAAGGAAGUAACUUCUUUAAAUUCAUAAAAAGUUUGUGAGAAAAUAUCAAUCAAACAAAUUGAAUAUAUCAAUUUUCUAUAAAUUAGAAUAUUUUUUAGUUAAUUUAACCCCAAUUAAAUUUGAAGUUUUUGAUUUAACUUAACCCAAUCAAAUAAGGAUUAAAUUUAAUAUUUAUAAAUAUUUGAUGCAGAGCAAUUAACCUUGAAUCAAGUUUAAUUUCUGCUGUUGAUAUCCAUUGGAAGCGAACAAUAACUUUUUGAAAAGAGAAUUUCGAAAUGUACGACUUUAAAAGUGUGACAAAGGCCAUAUGCCUGUUAUAAAGUUCAAGACCUAAAUUUCAUCAUUUAAGUAGUUAAUUUUGUAUUUUAAUUAGUUUUUUAGAUUUUUUCAAUAUUUUUUCUAUUAGGGUUUUUACUAUUAUAAAUAGUUCUUUUCUUGACCGUUGGAAACAUUUUUCAAUUUUCGUGAAUUUAAUAAAAAAUUUCAGCUUUCGGCCUUUCGUUUUUUUAAUUUUAUCUUUACCAAACAUUAUUUGUUAAAACUCUUGAUUGAGCCUAAAUAGUUCUAUUUCAGUUGGUAUUAGAGCGAAGUACAUCUAUGGCCAACAAUCAAGAGGCGCGACUCGCUGUAAUUGAGGCAUCCUUGGUAGAAUUGAGGGAGAUGAUCGGACAGUUAGCCCUACAACAGGGUAACAACCAACCCGCUGCAGUCGAAUACCCACCGCCAGUUUUAAAUCCUGUGGUUGCAAAUUAUGUGGUUACAAAUCCCCAAAAGGAUCAUCACAAAGUUUACAAGAUAAAGAUAGACUUUCAGAACUUUUCUGGCUCGUUGGAUGUAGAAUCUGUCAUUGAUUGGUUAGCAGUUAUUGAUCGAUUUUUUAAAAUUAUGAACGUGGAAAAGGAUCGAAAGAUUUUGAUUGUGACUCAUAAAUUAAAGGGUGGUGCAGUAGCAUGGUGAAAUUCUGUUCAAAACAAAUGCUAUCACAUGAGACUGAAACCUAUAUGAAACUGGCUGUUGAUGAAGCAGAUGAUUGAAUAGCGAUUCUUGCCUAGUGAUCACGCCCAAGUUUUGUAUAAUUGGUAUCAUGACUGUAUUCAAGGGAAUCGAAGGAUGGAUGAAUAUACAAAGGAUUUUUUGAGGUUGCAGGCGAGGUGUGAAAUUAUGAAAAUGAAACCCAGCAGGUUGCUCAUUAUCAGAGAGGACUGAAUCACGAAAUUUAUUAUAUGAUGGGAGUAGCUGUGAUUUUCACUUUGGCAGAUGUCAUUGAGAUGGCGAAAAGAGCAUAAGAACGUAUUGAAUGGUAGCCUCGAUAUCAGUCUAAUCGAAAUUUUAAUUACAAAAAUUCUGGUUCGAUAGGAACUCAGCAGCAUAGAGAUAAUUACAGCGGACAACCUUCUAAGGCUAUAAAUUCUGGCAAUCAUCAUAAUACUUUGGAAGAAAGGAGAGAUAAUAAGAAACAAGUAGUCGUCAAUACAACAAACAAAAUAGGCAAAACCAAUCCUUAUCAGAAACCAAUCGAAGACAUAUGUUAUUAUUACAGGCAACCUAGACAUCAAUCGAAUAAUUGUUCAAAACGCAGGGGAGUUAAUAACGUUUGUUGAUAGGUUAAUGUGGUUGAAUCUAAGGAGGAAGUGGAUGAAGAUUAUGGGUCUAUUGUUGGUUCUGAAGAUGGGGAUGUCACCUAUGUGGUGAAGAAAAUCUUAUGCUCCACGAAAUAGGAGGAUGAGAUGCAAAGGAGGAAGAUUUUCGAGGUGAAGUGUCGAGUGGGAGAAGCGAUUUGCAGAUUAAUUAUAGAUAAUUGCAGUUGUGAGAAUCUGAUAGCUAAGCAAUUUGUGGAGAAAGUGUAGUUGCCUACAGAGCCUCACCCUUAUUCAUACAAAGUUGGGUAGAUUAAGAAAGGUCCGACAAUUGAAGUCAACAGAAUCUAUAGCGUGCCUAUUUCGAUCGAUAAAUCUUACACUGAAUCUAUUAAUUGUAAUGUUGUGGAUAUGGAUUGCUGUAGAAUUUUGUUAGGUCGUCCUUGGCAGUUUAAUGUUGAUGUUUUGCAUAAGGGGAAGGAGAAUUCAUACAUGUUUACUUGGAAUCAGAAGAAAAUUAUGAUUUUGCCUUCUAAUUCUACGAAACAUUCUAAAGUGGAAGGGAAAACUAUUGCUAUUGUUUUUGUGGGAGUGCAAAGGAUUUCAUACAUAGUUGAGAAGUUUGGAGGCACACUGGCUUUAUUGGUGAGAACAAAAAGAGAAGCGGAGGAUACACCAUCUUUACUACCACCCGUCAAAGAGUUAUUGAAGGAGUUUCCUAAGGUAGUGGAGUAACCUUCAAAGCUUUCACUUUUGCAGGAUAUUCAACAUCGGAUUAAUAUUAUUCCUGGAUCCAAAUUACUGAAUCUGUCUCAUUACAAGAUGAGGCUAAAAGAGAGCGAAAUUCUUCAAGAAUAGGUUGAAGAGUUAUUAAAGAAGGGACACAUUUGGAGAGCAUUAGCCCUUGCAAAGUCCCUGCCUUAUUGGUUCCAAAGAAUGAUGGGAUAUGGAGAGUGUGCAUGGAUAGCAAAUUCAUCAAUAAGAUUAUGGUUCAGUAUCAAUUUCCUAUUCCUCGACUGGAUAACAUGCUGGAUUAGUUAUCAGGGUCUAAAGUCUUCUCUAAGAUCAGUCUUAAAAGUGGCUACCACAAAGUUCGGAUUAAGGAGAGAGAUGAAUGUAAGACAAUCUUUAAAACUAAGAAAGGCUUGUACGAGUGACUAGUUAUGCCGUUUGAUUUGACGAAUGCACCUAGCACGUUCAUGCGACUUAUGAACUAAGUUUUGCAUUCUUUCUUACGCAAAUUUGUGGUUGUUUAUUUUGAUGAUAUUUUGAUUUUUAGUCGCAGUGAAGAAGAAUAUUUAUAGCACCUUCGUCAAGUCAUGACAGCCUUGUAAGAAAGUGAGCUGGUUAUUAAUUUUAAAAAAUACAUCUACAUAAUGAAGCACAUUCUGUUUCUUGGAUUUAUUAUUAGUGCAGAAGGGAUAUAUGUUGAUGAGAAGAAGGUAGAAGCGAUAUAGAACUACCUCAUUCCUAAAAAUAUUUCAGAAGUUCGCAGCUUUCAUGGACUUGCUACUUUCUAUCAGCGGUUUAUCAGAAAUUUCAGCAGCAUCGUUGCCCCUAUCACAGAUUGUUUGAAGAAAGAGAAAGUGCAUAAAUUUAUUUGGACUGACACUGCCAACAAAAGUUUUGAGGAGAUUAAAGAUAAAUUUACUUCUGCCUCUAUUCUUGCUUUACCUGAUUUUGAUAAAAUGUUUAAGACUGAAUGUGAUAUUUGUGGAUUUGGGAUUGGUGGUACAUUAUCACAGUCUAAUAGGCCUAUUGCCUUCUUUAGUGAGAAAUUGAAUUGAUGGAGGGAUUUCACGUUGAAAGGGGUUUUAACAAUUUCAUUAAGGGCAUUUUUGGUAAAAAAUCUCACCUCUCACUUUUGACUCUUUGACAAAACGGCUACUUUUGACGGAAGGACUACGAAUUUGGAUGGAAGAGAAAGUGAGGGACUUAAGUGUUGGGUUGUCAAAAUAGAGGGACAUAAGUGUUAAUUAUAUUAAACUUCAGGGAUUAAAAAGUAAUUUUUCCUUUAUUUAAUUCUAAUUGUAUCUAUUUUAAAGAUAUUAAAUUUUAUUAAAUAGUAAGAGAUGUUAUUUCUUAAAAAUAAGAUAAAAUUAAAUAGGAUUAUAAUAGUUAAUUUAUAUAUUAUUAUAUUUUAAAAAGAAAAAGUGAACAAUAAUUUUGGAAUAUCUAUAAAAGAAAAGGUGGAUAAAAAUUAUGAGUAGGAUGGAGUAUUUUAUAUCAACAUAAUUUCUUAUAAUAAAUAUUAAGUGCAAACAAAUAUUAAAUGAAUGGGCGAGUAAAAUAUUUACAUUGAUAUUACAUGACAACCACUCAAAAUAAGUCAUAAGUUGUUAUUAUGAGAUAGAAUCGCGUGGUAAGCAUCGGAUACGUAGGAAACGCGGUCCUUCCCGAGAAAGGAAGAUCUGGAUACCAUAACACCCGAAUCAUUGUUAAGACUCGUCCUUUCCAUAGAAAGGAGAGUUUCUGCGCCAAGUUACCGUUAAUAAGUAUAAUCUAGCGUAUCUCUAUUACGCCUGUAAUCACGAGAUCACCAACUUAUUAGCUGGUAACAUCUCUUAUCAAGCAGCUGGCCACAUCAUUAUCGGAUUAUCGAAAAAUAUUAUACUUAUCUCUACCUUCUUAAAGUAUAAAAGAAGAAGAAUCACAGAGAUAAAGAUACGCUAUUUUCAUUCAAUGUCCGAGAAUCGAACCUCAUCGAAAUGAGGAAAAGGUUCGGUCCUUAAUGAAGAAGGUCAGAGGCGGGCAAGGCAGCUGUGAACUUCGCUAGGUAGCCAAAGGCAACAAUGAAGAAGCGGACCUCUUAGCCAAAAUGGCAGCGGCAAGUGAACAGUACUUGACUUAACCAUUCUAGUUCGAGGAAUUGUACACUCCAAUAAUGGAAGUGGAAGAAUCUUUCUCCCUAGAAGAGGGGGAAUCAUGGAUGACGCCCAUAUACAAAUUUUUUACACAAGAUGAUCUUCCAGACGAUGAGUUAUCAGCUAAAAAAGUAAUAAAAAAGUCUUCUAAAUUCACGCUAAUUAAUGAUUGAUCGUACAAGAGGUCCUCUACAUAGCCAUGGUUGUGAUGUGUUAUAGAGGAGGAAGGUUAGAAAAUCCUAAAAGAUAUCUAUGAAGGUAAUUACAGGAGCUAUGAAGGAACUCGAACAAUCACCCAGAAAGCAUUCAAACGAGGGUACUACUGGCUAAUGAUAAUGCAAGAUGCGAAGCAACUUGUCCAAAAGUGUCGGAGAUGCCAAGUACAUGCAAAUAUCCCAAAGACCUCGAGAGAAAUGCAAGUGGCCAUUGAAAGCCCCUGGCCUUUCUUUCAGUAGGGGAUAGACAUCCUUGGCCCUUUCCCCAAGGUGUCUAGGUCAAGGAAGUUUGUUAUCAUGGUAGUAGAUUACUUCAACAAAUGAACGGAAGCUGAGGCAGUACAGUCCAUCACUACCCAACAAGCAAUCUCUUUCGUUAGUAAAAACAUAUUCAUCUGAUUCGAAAUAUCAAAAAUAGUAAUCACCGAUAAUAAAACUUAAUUUGCAAGUACUAGGUUUAGAGACUUUUGCAAAAAAUGAAAAAUCGACUUGAGGUUCAGCUCAGUCUAUCAUCCCUAGUUCAAUGGUAUGACUGAGGUCACAAAUAGGACCAUCUUACAAGGGUUAAAGAAAAGACUCGACCAAGCCAAAGCCAACUGGCCCGAGGAGUUACCUCACAUACUUUGGUCAUAUAGGACUACUCCCAAAAUAGCUACAGGGGAACACCCUUUUCCUUUGUAUAUAGGGUCGAAGCAGUCAUCCCCGUGGAAAUAUAAAUAAGCAGCUUCAGAUCACAACACCCUGAAAUUUCAGGAUACCCUAAAGAGAUGCAAUUCAAUCUGGACGAAGCCAAAUUCAUACGAAAAAAGGUCACAAUCAGAAUGGUGGUUUACAGAAAUAAAAUGUCCAAAAUGUUCAACAGAAAGGUCAGGCCACAAGCCUUUAAUGCGGUAGACUUAGUCCUCAAAAGAACAGAUAUGACAAAUAGCAAUGCCAAGCCUGGUAAGCUGACGAGAACUGGAAAGGACCAAACUAGAUGCUCAAGUUAUUCCCCAUGCUUGGAAUACUUGUAAUUUGAGAAAAUUUUAUCAAUAAUGAGUUAAAGAGGUAUUUCUUUCAUAUGUUGUGUAUUCCAGUGACAAGAAACGAUGGAUUGCGUUCCUCGAAAAAAAGAAAGACUAAAUAAACAAGAAAAGGCCACAAUGUAGUUUUUGCCAGACCAUUCGAGUGUUGGUCCCACUGAAUAAUGCCACAAAGCAGUUUUCGUCAAGUCAGGUCACAAGGCGGUUCUCGCCAGACCAUUCGAGCAUUGGUCGCACUAAACAGGGCCGCAAGGCCUACUUCAUUAGGCCACGAGCCAGACGUUGGUCCUUGUAAAUAGGUCAUUUGCACCAGAUAACUACAAGGGGUAUACUAAUCUCUAAGAGACAAAGGGGUUCCAAUCAAAGGAUAAUUUCGAUUAGACGAACCUUAUAACCAAGAAUCAAGAUGAAUAAUGGGUAAAAGACUCUUAUUACAAAAACGCCCAAGGCGUCUUAUGGUGCAAAGGCGGGUAUCCGCCAGACCAUAUGUCCGAAUAUUCAUUCUAUUUUACUGAAGUUCUAUAAGUUAUAUUUACUAAACUGGGUAUUAAAAAAAAUGAAUAUGUUUUUGCUGCCGAAUAAGAUAGGCAAAAAAAGCAAUUUCAUUACAAAAGAUUAUAAAAAGAUAAAAGGGACUUAGGCAAAGUCUCUAUUACAUCAUAAUAUUCUAAAAAUCUAUUAGCAGAAAUUCAUUCUCAUUCUAUGGGAAGACACCGUUUGAAAGGCCGUACAGAGGACUGUCUCUCCAAAUACCUUCAUGGCCUUACCCUCAAAAUCAACCUUACACAAUCCAACCCCUCUCCUUAGGGUUGCAACAUUAAAAAGGUGUUAUAGUUGGGUUGAUUGCAACCCUCAGCAGUAUGCUUGCACCUUUAUGAAGACUUACUUUCAGUUGCUCUUCAUAGACCAUGAUUAUAUUCUUUGCACAGAUAUGGUUAUUCUCAAAAAGAAGAAAGAAAGUGCCCCUUUUUAUAUCCCCGUAAACGAUAGUCGCAAACACAAAAGAGAAACGAGUGUUAUUAUAUAGUGGCAUAGCUAGCAAAAUUUUUAAUAUGGCCUGAAAAAUAAGGCCACCAUCAUGACUAAGGGAAGACAAAACGACACAAAUAAUCAAAUCAUGCCACGUAAUAAAAAAGACAAGUCAUCACUUUCGAAUUUGAAGAAUCGAAAACCAGCGAGAGAACCUCUGAUAUUACAUAAUAACCCCCCAAGGUAAGUCAUAAGAUGUCACUACGAGAUAGGGCCACGUGGCAAAGACUGGAUACGUAGGAAAUAUAGUUCUUCCCUAGGAAGAAACAUCCGGAUACUAUAACAUCUAGAUCAUUAUCAAGACUCACCCUUCCCACAGCAGGGAGAGUCUCGGUGCCAAGUUACCGUUAAUAAGCACAGUCCAGCGCAUCCUUAUUAUGCCUGUAAUCACGGGAUCACCAACUUAUUAGCUUGUGACAUCCCUUAUCAAGUAGCCGACCACAUCAUUACCGGAUUAUCGAAAAAUAUUAUAUUUAUUUCCACCUUUUUUACGGUAUAAAAGGAGAAAGAUUAUAUAGAGACAAAUAUAAAUUAUUCUGUUAUACAAAAAUUUCAAACAAUUCAUUACAUUCGUUCUUUUUUUCAGUAUACUAACUUGAGCGUCAAAUCUCAUAAUCUCUUUUUUAUAGGUUUUAUUUAAUUAGUGUAGCUUUAUUUCAAUCACAUCAUCAAUAUCAUGCAUUAUAACAUUAGAUUUUCUUUUUAUUUUUAAAUAAAGAAAUUUCAUUAAAUAUUUGGGUUGCUUGUACUUUACAUACAAAAUGUUAAUUAGUUUUAAUUUAUUAACACUGAGGGCUCAAAUUCCAAUCAAAUUCCAAUUCAAUUGAAUUAAUUAUAAAAAAAAUAAAAAUUUGAAAGGAACUAUAAAAAAUAUUUACAAUUUAAUUAAACUUAUAAAUUUGAGUUUUUGAAAUUGAGAUAAGGUUGAAGGCGUGAACGGCAAGAUUCGAACUUGCGCGGGCAGAGCCCACAUGAUUUCUAGUCAUGCCCGAUAACCACUCCGGCACGUCCACGGCGAUGCAUUCACUUUCUCCAAGUUUUAUUUCAAGUUACAUAUAUAGCAGUCUCGGACUCCGAGUUGAGGAAUGAGGCAAAUUGUGACAUGAUCGUGAAGAAGGAUUCUUUCUUGUUGUUUGGAAUUGUUAUCACAAAUAAAUGAAUUUAAAGGAAAAAAAACUUAACAUAAUUGAGAAGACAUUUUGGAUUCUGUUGGAAGGUUCAUUAAGUGCAAGUCAAAACUUAACUCUAGCCUUUAAAGGAUAAUUUUGGGUUACUGAACUUUACUUAUUAUUUAAUGUAAUUAUUGAAUUUCCAUUUAUUUUUAAAAAGUCAUCAACGUUUUUAUAUUUCUUUUAUAAAUAAUCACUCAAACGAAAAGUCGAAAAACUUUUUUAGUGAACCGGAUAUGUGGUUUAUUCUACCUACGUUAAAAUAAUAAUAAUAAAAAAAUUUUUUUUUAACAUUUAACUCGGUUCUUCCAAUUCGAGGAGUUGCACACUUCGACGACAGAGAUAGAAUAAUCUUUUUCUAUAGAAGAAAGAGAGUUAUGGAUGGUACUUGUAUAUAAAUUAUGACCUUCCGGCUAAUGAGUUAUUAGCUAAACAGAUAAUAAAAAAGUCUUCUAAGUAUGCACUAAUUAAUAGUUGGUUAUACAGUAGGUCCUCCACAUAGCCAUGGUUGUGAUAUAUGAUAGAGGAAAAAGGUUAGAAAAUCCUAAAAGACAUCCAUGAGGUUAAUUAUGGAAGUCACGAAGGAGCUCGGACAAGCGUCUGAAAAACAUUCAGACAAUGAUACUACUGACCAAUGAUAAUGCAGGAUGCAAAGCAAUUUAUCCAGAAGUGUCAAAAUAUCUUUACCCGAUUCGGAAUACCCAAAAUCAUGAUUAUUGAUAAUGAAACUCAGUUUGUAAGCAUCAAAUUUAAAGACUUUUGCAAAAAAUGGGAGAUUGAUUUGAGGUUCAGCUCAGCCUACCACCCCCAAUCCAAUGGUAUGAUGGAAGUCAUGAACAGGACUAUAUUAUAGGGGGCUGAAGAAAAGGCUCGAUAAAGCCAAAGGUAAUUGGCCCGAGGAAUUGCCUCACAUACUGUGGGCAUACAGAAUUACUCCCAGACCAGCUACUGGAGAGACACCAUUUUCCUUGGUAUAUAGGGGAGAAGCAGUCAUCCUCGUAGAAAUACAAGUAAGUAACUUCAAAAUACAACAUCCUGAAAUCUCGGGACACCCUAAAAAAACACAAUUCAAUUUGGAUCAAGCCGAGUUCUUGCGAGAAAAGGCCGCAAUGAGAAUAGCAGCUGACAGGAAUAAAAUAUCCAGGAUAUUCAAUAGCAAAAUCAAGCCGAGAGCCUUCAAUGUGGGAGACUUGAUCCUCAAACAAAUAGACGUAACAGGGGGCAAUGUCAGACCCAAAAAGUUAGGAGAAAACUGGAUAGGACCAUUUAAGGUCUCAAAGGUUAUUUGCCCUAGGUCCUAUAAACUGGCCAAGCUAAAUAGUCAAGUUAUUCCUCAUGCAUGGAAUAUUUGUAACUUGAGAAAAUUUUAUCAAUGAUGAGUUGAUGAGGUUAUCUCAUAUGAUGAGAACUUUGGAUUGCCUUCCCCAAAAGAAAGACUAGUUAAACAGAACAUGAAACAGCCCUGCUCAAACUAACCCAAAUAAAUUUUGGAUCCACUUUCCACUUGACGCAAAAUGGUUAACCCAAGUUAUUUAGUAGUUUCGUGCUAACUAUUAUAUACAAUUCGAAAUUGUCGUAAUCCGCUGAUGUGGGACGAUUUCCCACAAGCAGGCAGCUGACCAUUACACUCGGUUCCGCUAAAUUUGCGAUGUCCUCGUCGCAACUGAAUCGAAUACAAUUGCUAAACCAAGACCGGACUCUCAGGUAUUGUGGUUCGCUAGUACCUCGGGCGGCUCCACCUCGUUUCACACGGGUAGCCCUUUCCUCGCAGGUCCACUAGUUUUGCACAAUUUGUCUGAUCCAGGGUGGCUCUGAUACUAAUUGAAACAGUCCGGCCCAAACUGGCCCAAGUAACUUUUGGAUCCACUUUCCACUUGUUAACCCAAGUUAUUUAGUAGUUUCGUGCUAGCUAUUAUAUACAAUUCGAAAUUGUCAUAAUCCACCAAUGUGGGAUAAUUUUCCACAAGCAGGCAGCUGACCGUUAUAGACCACUUGGGUAUUGGUCCUAUUAAUUAAGGCCACAAUGCAAUUCUCGCCAAGUCAGGUCACAGGGCGAUUUUUGCCAGACCACUUAGGCGUUGGUCCUAUUAAUCAAGACCACAAGGCAGUUCUCGCCAAGUCAGGUCACAAAGUGGUUUUUGCCAGACCACUUAGGCGCUGGCCCCACUAGUUAAGGCCAUAAGGCAAUUUUUGUUAGGCCAGGUCACAAGAUGAUUUUUGCCAAGCUACUUAGGUGUUGGUCCCAUUAAUCAAGGCUACAAGGCAAUUCUCGCUAGGCUAGGUCACAGGGUAGUUUAGCCAGAUCAGGUCACAAGGCGGUUUUCACCAGACCACUUGGGUGUUGGUCCCAUUAAUCAAGGCCACAGGGCAGUUCCUGCCAGGCCAAGUCAAAAGGCGAUUUUCGCCAGACCAUUUGGGCAUUGGUCCCACUAAUCAAGGCCAUAAGGCAGUUUUCGUCAAGUUAGGUCACAAGGUAAUUUUCGCCAGAAUACUUGGGCAUUGGUCCCAUUAAUCAAAAUCACAAGGCAGUUUUCACCAGGUCAGGUCACAAGGCGAUUUUCGCCAGGCCACUUAGGCGUUGGUCCCAUUAAUCAAGGCCACAAAGUAGUUCUCGUCAGGCCAGGUCACAAGGUGGUUUUCGCCAAACCACCUGGGCGCUGGUCCUACUAAUCAAGGACACAAGGUAGUUUUCACCAGCUUAGGUCACAAGGUGGUUCUCGCCAGACCACUGGGGCAUUGGUCCCAUUAAUCGAGGCCACAAGGCAGUUUUUACCAGGCCAGCUCACCAGGCAAUUUUCGCUAGACCACUCGUGUGUUGGUCCUAUAUAACAAGGUAUUUGAUGCUAGGCCUAAAGAUAGGUACACACCGUGCCGACCUUCUAGGUGUUAGUCCCGAUUUACGAGAGAAUUCAAAGACAUUUGGUGCCAAAAGCUCAUUAGAGCUAUAAAAGGCCAAAAGCCCAGUAGGGCUGUAUAAGGCCAAAGAGCUCGUAAGGGCUAGAAAAAUGUCCAGAAGCUCACAAAGGCAUUCAAUGCCAGAAAGCUAGUCAAGGCUAGAGAAUUCCCGACAAGACGAGAAAAUACUCGAAAACUCGUCAAGGCACUGGAAGCCAGAAAGCUAGGAGAAAGGUCAUGGGCUAAGAUCAUGGCUAGAAAAAUGCCUAAAAGAUUGUAAAAGCUAGAAAAGCCACGGAGCUCGUAAGUGCUAGAAAAAUUCCCAAAAGCUUACAAAGGCAUUCAAUGCUAGAAAGCUAGUCAAGGCUAAAUAAUGUCCGACGAGAUGAGAAAAUGCUCGAAAGCUUGUCAAGACUGAACAAUGUUCGGAAGCACGUUAAGGCUAGAAAAUGCUCGUAAGAUCGUCAAAGCAUUACUAUAUCACUGGACCAAUUUUUACCAGACAAAGUCUUAGACCUAAUUGGUCGGCAAGGCAAAAAAGAGGAAAACAAGGACAUCGUGCACUCAGCUCAACAAAUAAGCCACAUAACCCAGAUCAUGAAGACAAUUGUCACCUUCAAAUCUAAAGAAUUGACUAGCGGGGGACCUUUGAUGCUAUAUAAGACUUUUUCAAAGUAAACCGUGAGCUAUCACCAUAAAAUAAGGUCACGUGGCAGGGUUCAUAAGCUAAUAAGUUGUCCCACUCAUAAAAAGGAAAAACUCGGACGACCGAUUCUUAAUCAAGACUCGUCUGAGGACAGGUAGGCUUUAGGUCGGACAGGCUCACCUCCACAAGCAAGUUACAGAUAAAUAGCUACAACCUAGCAAGACAAUCACAGGAUUCUCAAUCAAUUAGUCGGUAAAGAUCCUUUACCAAUAGGUUGGCCACAUCAUCGCCGGAUUAUCAGAAAAUAUUAUAUUUAUCUCCACCUUCUUACAGUAUAAAAAGAGAACGAUCACAGAGACAAAGGUACGUAAUUCUUAAACACUGAAACUCUUACAUUCCGUUAUACUUUCUCUCAUUCAGUUAUUGACUUAGCGUCGGAGUAGCUACCGUGGGUAUCCAUCACCACCUCAUGUUAUUUCUUUUGUAGAUCCUAACCAAUCACAGUACAGUUUGAUUCCGACCAUAUCAUCAGUUUAAAUCUUAGCUACAUCAGUUAUUAUUUUAAACCACAUGAGAUAAGUCACAUAUACAUUUUGUCGAAAAAUCUACUGAAAUCUCAUCUGAGUGAUUAUCUCGAACAAAUAUUUAAACUUUAAUUACUUUUUUAAAAUAAAUUAAAGUUUAAUAAUUAUAAUGAAUUAGUAAUUAAAAUUCAAUAAGUGAAAAUUAUCUAACCGUUAAAUCAAUUGUAUUGGAUUAUAUAAUUGAUUUUGGAUUUUGUGCAAAUAAAACCUCCCAUACUGAUAUGUUUUGUGCAUGUUGCGGGCCAUGUAAAAGUAUGAAUAAAUGGGAUAAAAUUAAACGAAUUCUGUUAUUAUUUGAAUAAUAAUAAUUAAAUUUAAAUAAUUCAAAAUAAUUUUUAAUUAAAUCUAAAACGAAUUUAAAUAUUAAUAAUAUAAUAUUCAUCAUGGGAAGGAUGAAAAGAAGCAUGUGGUUUGUAUUUGGAAAUAUUUUCUUAUAUAUUUAAAUUUAAUUUAAUUUUAAAAAUUCUUAAUAUCUAUUUAUUAGAAUAAAGGAUUAGAGAAUGAAAAGCUUAGAAACAUUAUAAAAAUUUGCUUGAAAAAAAAAUAUGUUUAUUUUUUCCCUUUUAUUGUGAUUAUGUUACAAAUUGAUGCUUGAUCAUUCUGAUAAAUUUAUAGAGAGAAUGUUAUUAAUUAUUAUGUCAUAAUUAUAUUUUUUAUUUUUUAUAUUUAUUUUUUAAAAUUUAUGGCAGCUCAUUUCUCAAAAAUUGAAUUAAUUAGUCAGCUCACGAAGCAAAAGUCAACUAAUAAGCUCGAAAAAUUAAUGGCAGAUAAUAAAUAUGUAAAACAACCCAUGUAUUUAUAGGUCUAACUGAUUUUGAUUUUCAAGCAUUCCUAUUAUAGAAAAUUUUCUUCAUUAACAAAUUAUAUUAAUAUAUUUAAAAUAAUAAAUGGCUAAUUUUAUUGAAUAUAAAUAAUAAAUUUCAUCUAAAAAUUUAAAAAUAUAAAUAAUUUGAGAAUAACAUUAAUAAAUUUUUAAAAAUUUAUACAUAUGUAUUUUUUACUGACAUAAUAAUAAAUAAAAUUAUUUUUAACCAAAGUAAAAUUAUUAAUUAAAUAAUAUUAAGUUCGUAUGCAACUAUACAAAUUAAAUAAUUUCUAAUUAUAUAGGACUUUUUGUAUGAUUAUUAAUUUUUUUAAUCAGAUGGAGGAUUAAAGUCCAUCACACUGGCACGUCUUUACCAAACUAUUCCAACUUUAUCAGCAAUGAGCAAAUCACUAAUCCUUAAAAGAGGAUUCACAAACAUCUGUAUAUCAAAAGAAUCUGCAAUAGCAUCCUUAGCCAACUGAUUUGAAACUGAAUUAGCUUCUUUAAAGACCUUCACAAGUUGAACUUCCCAACUACGAUCCAGCAAAUUCAAACAUGCUGUCAAAAUAUUCCUAUGGCGAUGAACGUCACUCCCUCUUUUAAUUACCAUUGAAAUAACAGUUCGGGAAUCACAUUGCAACUGAAUUUUUCGCCAACCAUUCUCCCAUGUGAUUGUCAAGGCUUUGUGCACUCCCCAGAGCUAUGCAUCAACUGCAUAACUUACACCAAUAGCUAAUGAAAAACCAAGCAACUAGUAUCAUACUAGUACAUCCCGAAAACAACCGGCACACGCAGCCAAACCAGGCUGCCCCACAGCACUCCCAUCAGUGUUAGCUGUCACCCAACUCAUCGGAGCUCGAUUCCAUGAAAUAAACUGUUGAGAAGCUCGACGUGGUUCAUAAUGAACAUAAUAAGUUGAGUUCCAAGCUUUAGAAAUCAGCUGAACCUGUUCCUGCAGAAAACCAAGCAAAAGUUUGAAGUCUUGAUUUUCAAAUAUUCUCAUGUUCCUCGCCUUCCAUAGCCAUCAUACACACACUGCAAAAUAACAUUUCAAGCAGUACCCCAAACCUCCUCAUCAUUCCUCAAAUUAGCAAACAACCAGUCCGUAAUUUGUAAUGAGAAAAAAUCUGUACAAAUGACUUGGUUAUCAAAUAAGGACCACACCUGAAUAGCAUAAGAACAAUCCCUUAACACAUGCAAAAUAUCCUCAGCAACAUUAUGGCAAUAUCCACACGAAUCAUCCAAGGUAAAACCUCUCUUUCUUCUUUCUAUGUUACAAAGGAUCUUACUAUGGGAAAUUUGCCAUAAAAACAUACAUACCCUUUGAUGGACCUUUAUCUUCCACACAUGCUUCAAUAACUUAAAUUCUCAUUAACAACAGAAUUACUCAAAACUCCAUAUGCUGACUUAACCGAAUAUGUCCCAGAAUUAGUAUAAUUCCAAACAUAUUGAUCUCUCAAGCCAACCAUUCUGGAAAGGAGUCGAGAUUUCAAAGAAUCGAGCACAUUAAUGGGUGAAGCACAUCUCACUUUCAUCCUAAAUUAUCAUCCCAAAAUGCCCUAAUAGGCAACGUUUUAGCUAUCUCAUUAAUAGGAACAAUUGCUUGAUUGAAUAGAAGGCCUAAAGGAAGCCAUGAGUCCAUCCAAAAACUUGUCCCCAAGCCACUUCCCACUUCCCAGACUAGCCAUUGUCUCACCACAUCAAGACCCACUUUAAUACCCCUCCAAAUAUGAGAACCUGAAAUAGCUAGUACUCUCAUCCAAGAAAAAUAGCCACCAAAAUAUUCGUUGACAAUAGUUCUCCCCCACAAGAAAUUAGGAGAUCACUGGAACCUCCAUCCCAAUUUCUCCAAGAGUGCAUGAUUCAUCAAAUGAGGCUUUUGGAUUCCCAAUCCACCAUUAGCUUUAGAUUCUUGAAUAGUUUGCCAAUUAACAAGACGAAUGUGAUUGCCCCAUGAAUACCUUUCCAAAUAAAAUCUCUGCAUAUCUUGUCCAUAGCAUUGCAUAAAGAGACCGGAAGAAGACAAGUUUGCAUCGUGUAAACAAGAAUAGCUGCACGAAUAGAUUGAACUAAUGUCACCCUUCCGGCCAUUGAGAGCACAUUGGCCUUCCAUUCAGCCAAUUUCUGUCUCAUCUGAUAAAGAAUGUAAGAAAAAGUGUCCUUAUAUACUCACUGAUGCAAAGCAAGGUACCCAAAUAUCUCCUAAAUCCUGAGUCAAUAAUUCUAGAAAUAUGAGACAGACGUUCCGCUACAUCUGGAGACACCAUAGAAGACACAAAAAGACGAGAUUUCUGAAAAUUAAUCUUCUGUCCUGAAGUUAAUGAGAACCUGUUCAACACAUCCAUAAUGACAAGAAGUUAUUGCUCAGAUGCUUCCGCAAAGAGCACCAUAUCAUCACCAAAGAACGAUAGAAAAGUAGCGAUCCUAGUCUAAAUAAAGGAAGCCGAUGCCAAAAACCACCAGCCACAGAUUUUCUAAUAUCUUGUGUCAAUACUUCAAUACACAACACAAAAAAAUAGGGAGAUAUAGAAUCACCCUGUGGAACCCCUCGUGAAGGCUUAAAGGAUUGGAGUCCAAAUCACAGACAUAAAAGAUGAAUUCAAACAGUUCAUAAUUACCGAGAUCCACACUUUUGAGAAGCCAAUAUUCUGGAGAACCCAUUUAAUAAAAUCUUAGUUCAGGGCGAUCAUAUGCUUGUUCCAGAUUGAUCUUCAAAGCCAUAAAGCAUUUUAGACUUAGAUUGACGUAUGGAACGAAGAGCUUCCUGAAAGAGCACAAUAUUAUCUAUUAUUUGCUUCCAUGAUACAAAGUUGCACUACUCAGAUCCAAUCAAAUUAGGAAGCACAAUCUUUAGCCUAUUGACCAAAGUUUUAGUAAUUACCUUAUAUAAGACAUUACAAAGACUGAUCAGACAAAUUUGGUUAAUACGUUCAGGUGAAGGAAUCUUAGGUGUUAACACAAGUAAUGUCUCAUUGAUCACAGAUGGCAUCGGCUGGCCUUGCAACACACCUAACACAAGUUUAGUAACAGCCUCCCCAAUAAUAUGCCAUUUCUUUUGAUAAAAUGCACUAGGAAACCUUCCAUGUCUGGCGCAUCAUAAGGUCUCAUAGCAAAAAGGGUUGCUAUCAACUUCUCCAUAACAAAAGGUCUAUUAAGGGAAGAGAACAUUUCAGUAGACAAUUUCGAAAAUUCCUGAGCUCAUACCUAACAUAUCAGCUACACCCUCCACCUUAGACAGCUUAUUUAAAAAAUCAUAUACCAUAUCCUUCAAACAAAUCUUAUCAGAAAUCCAGUCACCCAUCUCAUUUCUAAGCCUUUGCACAAGUAAUCUAUUCCUCUUGAUCAAAGCAGAAGAAUGGUUGAAUUUCGUAUUAGGCUCACUUGAAAUAAUCCAAUCUUCCUUAGAUUUUUAGAACCAAAACAGUUCCUCUUGAGCCAAAACCACAACUAACUCCUUGCUUCAUUUCUCCUCCUAUUUCAUCAAACGUGUUUUUAGCACUACAAACAAUCUUCUUUGAACCCCCUCAAUCGAGCCCACAACCUUUUCUUUUUUAAAAAAAUUAUUACUAAACACAUUUCUAUUCCAAGAAGACAAAGCGGCUGCUAACCCAUGAGUAUUGUCCUAAAUCGGAGCCAAAGGAUUCCAAUUUCGCUUAAUAACAUUCUCAAAACCAUCAUAAGUUAACCACGCAAUCUGGUUUUUAAAAUAUGGUGGAUGAGGGGUACUCAAACCAACGGUAUUCACUACAACAGGGACAUGAUCAUAAUUGAGUUUGGCGGCAUGGGUUGCAAAAGCAUUAUCAAACCUGGAUCGCCAGCUAGCCGAACAUAAAGCACGAUCAAGUCUCGCACUCUUCAACGUGUCCAAAGUUCUACCUGUAGACCAGGUGAAUGGAACACCUUCAUACCCCAAAUCAAUGAGGCCGUUACAAAAGAUCCAAUUACAGAAAUCCCCCAUAACAUCUUACAGCGAGGAAUAUCCAGAUUGUUCUUCCACUGAAAUCAUUGAAUUAAAAUCUCCUAAGAUCAUCCAAUUAUCUCCUAAAUCAAAUUUUGCUAGCUGAAACUCUACCCAUGCACAUUCGGGCUUCCAUACACAACCCCCAAAUUCCAUGACUCUCAAUUCUGUAACAGAACAUGACAAACAAUAAACUGGGCAUCAAUAUAGACAACUUUAAUUGACCCCCAAGUUUUAUUCCCUCAACAUGAACCCACGAAUUAAAUCCUAGAGCCGCAGAAAUUUGAUCUACAUGAUGGCCGCUCGUACGGGAUUCCAUUAAACACACGAUAUCAAGAGAAAAUAACCUACGAUAUUCCUUGAAGGCUCUCUUAAAGUUUUGAGAGGCAGCUCCUUGAACAUUCCAACUAAAAAUAAUCAUUAAAAAAUAAAAUAGAAGGAAAAUACCAACAAUCCAUAAAGGAUUAGCUCUUUAUAUCCAUGCUGUUUCAGGCGGAUCAGGCAAUUCUUCAACACCAAUUCCAUGUCGAACUUGACUAUCUAAGCUUGAAAGAAACACUUCAAUGUUUACUUAUCAAACUUCGGACUGCACCUCAUUAAAGUCCUUAUCAUCUCUGGCCGAUGAAUGAGGCAUAAAGGGAUUAUUAAAAUGCUCCAAAAAAGGUCCAUUAAUAAGAUUAGAAAUAUCCAGGCUACAAUCCGUCCCUUUAGAAAUAAUUUUAACAACACACUCCACAUUGUUCUUGUUACCCAUCACAAUCGUAUGCUCCUCCACCGCUGCCGCUUGGUGAGAAGGUCUUGAACUUCUUCUAAUAAAAAUGACAAUAGCAUAAUUUGGCUUAGGGGCUUGCUUAUUAACCGUAGAAGAAGAAGAAAUAAAGUUGUUCUUACCCUUAAUUUGUUUCCUCUUAUCCUCUGUAUCAAACUUCUUGUCUCUCCCUUAGGUAUCUUUAGGAGAAGGCCCAUUUACCACUUGCCCAUUGGGCUUAGAAGCAUUAGCCCUUCCAUUUGUACACCUGGGACCUUUUCAGGAAUUGGUUCAUGCUCCACAUCAACUGAGAGAGGCUCAAACCUAGACCCACUUUGUCCAUUGACAUCUCCAUUUUCCCGCGUAAGAGGUUAACUUGCAUCAUUUGAGCUCUUCCUAUAAUUAAGCCUAAAACUUCUCCUCUUAUCAUUUUUAACCAACAUCAAAUCCCCAAAAUCCUCUAUCACAGCUAGAUUAAUAUCACUACUUUCAAGGAUAACAUUUUUUCCAAACACGGACUUUUCCUUAUUGGCAACAAUAGAAUCCAGACAUUAAUACACCAUAUCUCUGAAUUAGGAACAACCUCACCUUCUACAGUUGAAUGAUCUGCCAAAGUGAGUUUCUAUAAUAAUAGACAAACAAUGGAAGCAUGGCCAAACUUUAUAUUAGAGAAACAAACUAGAUGUAACACUUCAAACUCUAUACGCCUAAUCCACCUCCGCAAUCUAAACUUUAAAAUCAAAGUUUAGUUAAAUUGAGUUCCACACAAACUCGAUAUAUCUACCCUUAGUUAUUAAACUAGUAUUAGUAUCAACUUUAAUCGAGUUUUUCAAUUUACUACCAAUUCUCAAUAACAAAUUUACAUCGUAGUACUUAAUGAGAAGGCAUGAAAAUUUCACCCAAACAGUCAAUAAUAUUAAAACAUCAAAAAAAGUUUGACCUCCACAUUCUCGAGGACAAAUAAUAGUCAACAAUCAUAGGACACUCAUAGAGAGCAUGUUUAUAAUCACCGUCAGAUGAAAACUUAACUACAAAAAAAUCAUCAUCUACAGCAAUCACUUCUAAGACUGCUAUAGGUCUCUAUAAUUUCUUCACCAUUUUCACCAAGUAUGUGUAACCAAUCCAUCUACUCACCGAUUUAACAAUAAUUGUAUAUUUCCAACGAUUUCUCAAUCUACUAAUAUCAUCAGGAGAGAGUUUAAUUGUUGAACACAACUCAGUAUCAUCAGCCUCAUCCUUCUCCCCAUUCUCUUGCUCAACCAGCAAAUCUACCUAGACAUCAGCCUCACUUCCAUGCAAAUUAGCAUUACUAUUCUCAUGCAUCAACGUAUCACAAAUGGAUCUGGGCUCCAGACCAUGACCAAUACCUUCCUCCACAUCAUUGUAUCCAUCAAUCGAAAUAUUAUCGCCAUUUUCUAUGUGUUUUUUCUUAGUACUACGGGCCAAAAUACAAACCAGGAGGCUCCAUCUUCUUCAGCAUGACAACUUUUUUUUACAAAUAGCGUGAUAACUUUUGUAUAAUUAUUAAUUUAAGUUUAAUUUUUAUUUUACAUAAAAUUAUUAAUUUUACAUUUAGUCAUUCAUGAUUUGAAAAAACAUGACUAAUUUUUAGUAUUUAAUUAAUUUGUACAAUUUUUUUUGAAAAGAAACAUUAUACUAUAUAUAUAUAUUAUAAGUACGAUAAAUAAUUUAUUAAUAUUUAAUUUUAUUCUAUUGUGAUAAAAUUUUUGAAAUUAAUAAUUUUUAUUUUAUAUAAAAUGAUUAAUUUUAAAAUUUUGUCAUAUAUAAAACAAUUAAAUGUGGUGUUAUAUUAUUGUAACAAUAAAUUAUUAUGAUAAUAUUUAAUUAAAAUUAGUUAAAAAGAUUAUCAUAAUACAAAAUUAAUAAGAUAUAAUACUUUCUUCAAUUUAUUAUUAUAAAUGUACAGUAAAAUACAAAACUUUUAUCUAUAUAAUAAUACCUAUUAUAUGAUAAAAAAAUUAGGUACAUUUUUUUUUUAAAAAAAUAUUAUAAUAUAAAUAUAAAAUAAAUUGUAGAUAAAAUAAAGAGUGCAUUAAUAAAAUAAAAUUUCAAAUUAAUAACUAAAAAUUUAUUUUACAUGAAAUAUUUAAUUUUAAAUUAAUUUAUUUGUAAUUUCAAAAAUAUGACUAAUUUUUUAUUAUUAAUUAUUUUAUUUACAAUUAUUUUUUAAUAUAAUAAAAGAUUGUUAUUUGUAAACGUGAAAGGAAAAAAUAAGAAUAAGAAUAAAUAUAUUUAUAAAUAAAAUAAUUAUUCCUAACAAUUCAAAAUUAAGGUUAUGAUUGCAAUUGGUCAAAAUUAAUUUAGAUUUAUUAAAAAAAAUAUAAUAAAUUUUAAAAAUUUAAUUUAAUUAUUUAAAAUUAAAAAUUAAAAAUUAAAAAUAUAAACGUGUGAAUUGACUAUAACAUAUAGAUUAUUUAUCAAAAUAUUGUGAUUUAAAGUGAAAAAAAUGAGUAUAUUGAAACAGACGAGCAGGUGUCAGAAAAACGAAUAUGAUAGAAAGAGAAUAGCAAAGAAAACGUGAACGGCAGGAUUCGAACCUGCGCGGGCCGAGCCCACAUGAUUUCUAGUCAUGCCCGAUAACCACUCCGGCACGUCCACGGCGACGCUGUCAUUUUCUGCGGAUGUAUUCUGUUUAUAAAAAGUACUUGAGUUGCAAAUAGUAAAUGUAUUUUGCCUUUUACUUCUCAUUCUCUCGGCGGUUCAUAAAUUUUUGUAAUCUUUUUCUGAAGAAAAUAUCAGGAGUGUGUUUGAAAGAAUCUUUGGCAGAUUUAUUCCCUUUUCUUAGCCUUAAUUUGCUGUCUCAUUUACAUAUAUUUUAUUCUAAAGUUCUUGGUCUUGCAAGCAUCCUGCUUUGUAUAAUUUAAGUGCUUCUUUUCAAUUCAUUAAAAAAUAGUUAUUUCUUAAAUUUAUUUUAAUAUAUUUAUUAUCAAAUUAAAUAUAUAUAAAAUAAUAAUUAUUAUUUUAUAUUUUUAUAAAAAUGUCAAAAUUAAUAGGGAGUCGAUAAUAGUAUCAUUAAAUUAUAAUAAUUUUUUAUUUUUUAAAUAAGGGAUUGAAAAUUAAAAGAAGUAAAAUUUGAAAUCUCUCAUAUUUACUCAAAUACAUUCAGAUAUAUUUAUUAUCGGACUAAAUUUAUAAAUACUUAUAAUAAUUAAUUUAUAUAUUAUUAUAAUAAAAAAAAUAAAUAAUUAUUAUGAGAUAAUAAAAAAUAAUAAAAUAAAAAGGUAUUUUAUUUAAUUUAAUUAUUUAUUUAAAUUAAACUCCUAAAUUAAAUUUCGGUAUCUGCCAAAGGCUGUCAAUCUUUUUUUUAUUAUUAUUAUUCACUAUCAGCGAUAAGUGUAAUCUAAUUAUUGCGGAAUGUCAGAAAAACAAUACUCCUUUUUUUUUUCCUUUUCUUCUUCAUUUAGCUGGUUCUGUUAUGAGCACUUUAUGGUUGGUAGUAAUUUCUGCUGGAAAAUCUCUUGGCGUCCAACUGGUGCUUCCCCUGGCAAUUUCGGAUCCGUUCUCCAAGAGGAGCAAGUGUUCCAACUCUAUCACUUUAUCAUUACUAUUAUGACGGACUCCAUCUUUAACAAUCCUGGCCAGAGACUGCAGUACGCUAUCUGUGGUACACUCUUUCCUGUACUCCAAAGUUAUGGCAGAAAGCUUGUGAUGUUCUACAAGAGAGCGGGGAACAACCUGAAAGAAAGGAAUAGAAACUUGUCAUUUAAUUGUGAUAAAAUUUUACAACCAAACGUAGAAUUUUUAGCAUGUUUGUUAUGUCGAAAGAAAUGGGAAGUGUCUCGAACUCAAGGAUGUGCAUAUUGCGAAGGGAAGGAAACGCAAAGCGUAGAAGUAUAUACCCUGAACAUAUAGCAGCAUUAAUUUUCUCAAAGUUCGAGUCUUUUGAUGAACCAAAAAAAAGAAAUGAAAAGAAAAUUACCCACCUCAAGAAUCCAGUUAAUGUACUGAACAUGGUUCACAUGCUGAUUGAGAUCAAGCUGAUCCCAUUCAGGCUGUAGUAGAAGCAAAUACAGUCAAUCACUUAAACAAGGCAAAGCAUUGGAAGAAAAAGAAAAGGCCAGAGCAUUAAUUUAUUGAAGCAUGGAGAAACAUCAUACAGAUAACUUACUUUUACACCUUCUCGAGCAAAAUCCGCUGUAUCAACAUCGAGUCGUAGCAAUUUUCUGCUAUCCUUAACAAUGAUAGGAUCACAAUUCCUCAUGUGAGGAGCUAACUCGUCUCUGAUUUCUUCUUUAAGCUUGGAUAACUUCCUUGUCUUCUUAUUCAUUAAUACCCAUAAACUGCAGGUUUAAAUUUUUUAAAGAAAGGUGAGAAAAUAGCAAGUUAACCAAUAAAUGACGAUUAAAGAAAAUAAUCUUAAUUUCUAUGGAUAAUCAAGAAAAGAAAUUCAACCUGGUUGCUUGAGCCAAUGUACUCCCUGUCUUACCGUCACGAACAACCCAGUCUCGACCUACGCUAUUUUGUCCUGAUGGAUAAAACCAUGUGUCCACCUCUACACAAUCAUGCCUUGCAGUGGAUAAACAGUAUCAGAUGGGUGAUUACAAUGGAGGGUUUUAGAAAGAUUGAAGAAUAAAAAUUAAUUAAACUGCAAAAUCAGAAAGUUACCAGGAAGGAUAGCUAUCCACCACUAUCUGCAAAGUGGAGGUUACCCAUAUCAAAUCCUGUCUAUUCAUUUCUGGUGUUGAACCAAAACCAUCAGCCGAUAUACCUAUAACUCUACACUGUUCAAGUGCUGUGUCCUAAACACCAAAACAAAUAUCAAAGACUAAUCAUAGAAUUUAUGCAGAGGAAAAUGAAGUUCAAGUUUAACCUGUAAAUAAUUGGUCAAGGCAGCCAAGGAUAGUUUUCCGUCAAAGCAAAUUUCAAAUGAUCUAACCAAAAAGUUUUGCCUGUAAACGAGGCCAUCUUGCACCAAUCUUCCACUUCCACCGCUAAUAUUUGAUUUCCAAGAAUCCAAUUUCUGCCUUUCCUCACCAGUGGCUACAUUCACACAACCAAAAUGCUUCUUCCGAACACCAUAUUCUUGGGAUAUAAUCUUCCUUCUUGAUGAUGCUGAAGCCAUACGCAUCUCAUCCUUGACAGCUUUCUUCAUUUGGUUGAUUUCUUUAUUUUGAAAGGAUCCGACUUGGAAGUGCUUGUUAACUAGCAAGAAUCCCCUAGCAGUAGUAGCCAUUUUCCUUCUUCUGCUGAGCUUCAACUAAUUUGAGGUGAUAUAUAUAUAGAGAGAGAGGGGCAAUUGUUACCAUGUCUAACUGGCCUAAUAUUUUCCUUUAUCCAAUCGGAUUAAACUUUAAUCAGUCCAUUUUGAACAGUCUACAAUUAAGAUUUAAAUUUGAAAAUUAGUACCCAUGGUAUUUGAAUCGAAUUCAAAUUUUAUAUAUUAAAUAGAUAUUAUUUCAAUAUGUUUAUAUAAAUAAAUAAUUUAAAUAAUAUAUAUUCUAUAAUAGUAUUUAUAAACUUUUUUAUAUGAUUUUAUUUAGGAAAAACUACUUUUUAGUUUCUGAGGUUUAACGUAAUGAACACUUUUGUCCCUCUAUUUUGGCGACCCAACACUUAAAUCCCUCACUUUCUCUUCCGUCCAAAUUCGUAGUCCUUCCGUCCAUUUAAACCGUUUGGUCAAAGAGUCAAAGGUGAGAUGUGAUAAUUUUUUCUAAAAAUACCCUUCUCUCAAUGUGAAAUUCCAGAAGAAGAAGAAGAAGAAGAAGAAGAAGAAGAAGAAGAAGAAGAAAGAAGAAAGAAGAAGAAGAAGAAGAAGAAAGAAGAAGAAAAAAGAAGAAGAAAGAAGAAGAAGAAAGAAGAAAGAAGAAGAAGAAGAAGAAGAAGUUGCAAAAAGGGUAGGAAAAAGAAGAAGAAGAAGAAGAAGAAGAAGUUGCAGAAAGGGUAGGAAGAAGAAGAAGAAGAAGUUGCAGAAAGGGUAGGAAGAAGAAGAAGAAGAAGAAGAAAGAAGAAGAAGAAGAAGAAGAAGAAGAAGAAGUUGCAGAAAGGGUAGGAAGAAGAAGAAGAAGAAGAAGAAGAAGAAGAAGAAGAAGAAGAAGAAGAAGAAGAAGAAGAAGAAGAAGAAGAAGAAGAAGAAGAAGAAGAAGAAGAAGAAAAAGAUGGUUAAUUUUAUCAAUUCACGUGUCCCAAAUGGCUAUUUUGGACGGAUGGACUACGAAUUUGGACGGAAGAGAAAGUGAGGGACUUAAGUGUUGGGUCACCAAAAUAGAGGGACAGAAGUGUUAAUUACGUUAAAUCUCAGGGACUACAAAGUAAUUUUCUCUUUUAUUUAAAAAUUAGAAUUUAAAUUUUUUAGAGAUAUUAAUUUUUUUAAAUGAAAAUUAUUAAUAUUUUUUUAUAAUUUAUUAAUUAAAACAUUUAAAAUAAUUUUUAAUUGAAUUUAAAAUGAAUUAAUAUAUUAAUAAUAGUAAUUGAAUUUAAAUUUAGGUGGUUUGAUUUCCACAGUUUACAUGUUGCCCAUCUAUGAGAGAAAACAGUCCUGGAUUGUCCAUCUAUGAGAAAUGUAGUUGUCGUCAUCUGCAACAUGGAAACUGUUUAACGUCCCAUCAAAAGUCGAUAUAUGUAACUACCAAAAAAUCCGUCAUAUUCAUGUGAAUGGUAAAAAAAUCAUGUGGUUUGUAUUUGAAAAUAUUUUGUUACAUAUUUAAAUUUCAGUCAAUUUAAAUGUCGUUUUUAGAAUAGCAAGGAAAACGUGAACGGCAGGAUUCGAACCUGCGCGGGCAGAGCCCACAUGAUUUCUAGUCAUGCCCGAUAACCACUCCGGCACGUCCACGGCGAUGCGUUCACUUUUUUCAGGUCUUACUUGUGACGUCACUUCUCCGGUGACACAUCCAUAGCUGUCUCGAACUCGGAGUUGAGGAGGGAGAGAAGAAGAAUCUAACAGGAAGUCAGAUAUGGUGGUUUAGUUUAGUUUUCAAUUUGCACUUCUGGAUGGCUUGGCAAUGAGAGGUAGAAUUUUUGCCACAACUUGACAAUGUGCAAAAUUUUUCAAUUUGAUUGUUUAUUUACUGGUUAGAAUAUUGGAAUUUAGCAUCGAACUCGAACUUAUUUGUGUUCUUCUGCAUUUCUGAUUGCCUUGUAGCUCCAUGUUUGAAGAGCAUUUCUAAUGAUUAAUGCUUGAAAUGAAUGAUGAGAUAUUGUAGUAACUUAAUGUAAUUGAUAUCAGAAUUUGAUUUAGUUUGCCUGACUUUUGAUUCUAAUUUUUAUGACUUCUAACUUUUGGUUCAAGUUAACAGUCUAUUCAGGUUGCGAUUUGCGCUAUUUGAACUCGGUAUAUUUCUGUCACUAUUCUCGGCCUUCUUAACUAUCUAAGCUUCUGGGUAUUGAAGUAGACAAAUACAAAUUUGCUCCAAAAUCAUACAAGGCAGAGUGCGUUUUGCGAUUCUUUACAAUAUAGAUUAGGUAUUAAGUAGUAGAUUCUUUUAAAAGUAUAAUUACUUUUAAUGCAUUUUUCAAAAUAGAAAAAAAAUUAGUUAUCAGUUUUGCCAUACUAUAAUGACUAAGUAGUAAUUUUUUCUAUAAAUUAGUGGUCAAGCCUGUCUUUUGCUUUCUUUGUAUUUACCUAACAACUAUGUUCCAAAAUCCACAUUUUAUAUUUUGACUGAAGGCACCCUACAGGCAUUCAAAAUUUUUUUUGCUGUUACAAUUGGUUAUGAAUAUAUACUUUUGUCUGGUGAUUAUCUAAUAUUAAUUAGUUUAUUGCCGUAGGAAUGGAUAUUAGAUUGUUACAACCAAAAGAAGCUUGUUGAUAUCGAUAGUUAACCAUGGCGGACAGGCUACAUUACAUUUGAAACUAGUAGUGUUAAUGUCUUUAUAUGUAUCUCUCCUUUUUUUUUUUUCUUUUUUUAAUCCAGAUACUUAAAGCUCUUACAAAUCCCAUGAGAUAGAAUAUUUGUAAGAUACUUUACUUAUUCCUUGGAUUUACCCUGUCUGUCACCUUUUUGUUUAGCAAUUAAUAAUGUUUAAGACCAAACAUAUUCAAACCCCACAACCUUCACCCCCUCAUUUCCUUGGCAAAGGCCACUUAUCAUUUUUGCUUUUUCAUGCAUGACAUUGCUGUGAAUGUUGUAAAGACACGUGAAUUUCUAACUCUGACCUUUUUGUAUUGGAUUAUAUGAUUGCUAAUUGGUAUUAUCUAAAAUCUUAAAACACUAUGCUUUGGAUUAUGUGCAAAUGAACCUACCAUACUAUUAUGUUUUGUACAUGUUGCCAGCCAUGUAAAAGUAUGAAUAACAGGUGUGCUAAUUGCUAUCUGUCCUUUGGCAUGUGGAUCUUUUUCUUUCUGUUUGUUUUUUGGAACCUCCAGAGGAUUCUAAUGAAAAAUUUACAAGAGUAUAUCUUAAUACCCCGAUCCAAAAUAUUAAUUGGAUUGGCAAUUGGCAUGGUCUACAAUUUUCUUUAUCUUAUUGAUGUCAAUAAUAGAUGCCCUGUGUAUUCCUGAGGACAUGAGUGCUUACUGUUUAGUGAUUAAUAUGUGAAUAUAUAGUAUUUUCCUUUCAAGAUCUAAGAAUUAUAUCAUUACUUAGCCAUAUCUGAUGAUCUGCUUCUUGACUAGUAAUCAAUAUUCAAAGUGCUUUAAUUUGAUAAUUUAAGUAUAUGCACUCUAUUUUCCCACUUUUGGUCUUGAAAACAAGUUGAUCUUCUAAAUACAAAGAAUGCUUGCUGAUCAAAAGCCAUCGUCACCUAGAAAAUAUGAGAAACAAGUUGAAAGAGGAUCACAUUCUAAACCAACUGCUCUAUGUCCUCAAAGGUUAUUGUGAUAGUGUGAACAUAAUUUGUAUAUAAUUAAAGAAGAUUACAUAACCAUAGGCUAAUUGAUACUAAUUUAUUGAUAGAGUAUUUUUAGGAGUUGGCUUAACAAGGCGUGUAUAUAAACACACUUAGUUUAGAGAAAAUACAUAGAAAUUAUCCCAUUAUUUCUUGUUUUGUUGCAUGGUAUCAAAGCUUUUUUAUGGUUGAUCUAUUAUUUCUUUUGGGGUUGGAUAUUGUUCUCCUUUGAAUCACUAGUCCAGGUGAUUGUUUGAUCUCACCACCGUCCUAAGAAACAGCGCAACAGAGUUUUCGGCCUCUCCUUGAAGACCGGUGGUCAGACUGCCGGUGAGUGGUCUCCAUGCACCAAUUUUUCUUUUUCGCCUAUUCUUCACUCGCCGGCACGUGAACGCGUGUCGCACCUUCGACAAGUCUUCGGUUCCACUUCUGAGAUCGCGUCAUCAUUUUUGGCCAAUCUCUAGGGUCGUUGUUGUCAUCAGACCUUACUGUUGUCGGGUUUCUCUUCUGUUGGAGCUGUCCAAAUUCUAUUUCUUUCCUUUAAGGCUAUGUGAGGGUUGUUUUGGUACUUUUAUUAUUAGGUGAAGUGUUUUUAUGGUCUAAUAUUGGUUUUAAAUAGCUUCUAACAGUAAGACCCAUAUUACUGAAAUUAUUCUAACGUCUCUGGUAGCGGCUGAGACAGGUAAACUUAUCUUACUUGUCUUAUUUCCUCUUCACAUAAAUGGGUCAUUGAUUCUGGUGCCACGGAUCACAUGACAAGUAAUUUUCAUAUUUUUGCCAGCUUUCAAUCUCAUAAAUUAUGUUCUCCUGUUACAAUAGCGGAUAGGUCAAACUAUAAUGUUGAGGGUUUUGAGACUAUUAAAUCUACUCCUUUUAUUAUCCUAUCAUUUGUGCUAAAUUUAUCUAAUCUUACCUUUAAUUUAAUCUUUGCGAGUAAACUUAUCAAAAAUCUAAAUUGUUGGAAGAAAUCUAGUGUUUAGGAAAAGUAAGAAGCAAAAUGUGGUAUACAGAUCCAGUACUGAGUCAAAAUGCUCAAUCUAUUUCACGGAUAAAUUAUCUGCUGAAAGAAGUUGGUAUCAUUGUUUCCAAUCUAGUAUACCACAAACGGAUUAAGCAUAUUAAAGUUGAUCGUCAUUUCAUUUGUGAGAAGAUUCAAGGAAAUUUAAUUUCUACCGAUUAUGUGAAGACAGGAGAGUAAUUGAGUAACUAGGUGAUCUACUCACCAAAAUUUUAAAUGGAUUUCAAAUAGAAUAUUUUUCUAAUAAGUUAGGUAUGAUAAACAUCUAUUACUCAAUUUGAGAGGGAGUGUUAGAGCAUGUAUAUAAUUAAAGAGAUUACAUAAUCAUAGGUUAAUUGUUACUAAUUGAUUGAUAGAGGAUUCUUAAGAGUUGUUUUAACAAUAUCUUAUAAUUUGUAUAUAAACACACUUAUUUCAAUAGAAAAAAUACACAAAAAUUACCCAAUUAUUUCUUGUUUUAUUUUCAAUAAGUUAGUGUAUGAAUGGGUACUCAUAUUUUCUCCCGACACUGUAGUGGAAAACUACUCUAAUGUCAUCCCAGUCUGCCAGCACAGCAGACUAAAUUUCUGUAUACCUAACAAAUUUACUUUCAUUCUCUUUCCAAAAUUCCUACAUCUGCCUUCAACGAUUUGUUUCUUGUGCCAUAUGUUAGCAGUGUAGAGAGAGUAAUCCUGCUAAAGAGCACUUCUUCUUCGAAAGUAAAGGAAUGGGCUAUUAAUCAUCUGAAGAGAACUAUCUCAUGGCUGGAGAGUCAGGAGGUUAUGGUUAGCGGCACCUAAUGAUUUAUUUAUGGUGUCUGAUACACUGAUUGUCUGAUUCCUCUCCAUUCUCUGAUGAUGUUGAUUUCUAUUCUUUCAAUUUUGUGGCUCUGCUGGUAACUCUUAUGCACGUGGGAAAAUGUCCUUCUGUGAACAUCUUGUUAAUCCCAUGUACUUUUUGUCCUUCCUAUAAAUGGCUAAUAUAUUGCGGAAUGUCAGAAAAACAAUACUUGAUUUUUAAGUUCUGUUCACUUGCAUGUUGUUGCUCAUGAAAAUGGGGAGUUUUCAUCUUUUAUCCAAACCACUUUAUUUAUGCUGCUUGCCAAAAUUUUCAUGGUUGUGAUGAUAGUGAAUAUUUCUUUCUUAUUCAUUUGGGAUGGUAUGUUAGUAGCAUGAAGAUUUCUUAAUGAUUUACUUCACAAGGAUUCCAAGCACAUGAGAUCAAAUUCAUUUCUUUUGCUGCACUUAUCAGCCCCCCUUUUGCUUGUUGAGAAGGUGAAGAAGGGAGAAGAAAUUGGCGUUUCACAUUAUCUGGUGUGCAGUUUCUUAACGCACAAAACACAUAUACUCUUUUAUCUUUUUAACAAAAUAAAAGUGCAAAAAUACCUAGUAGAAUGAAAAUGCACCUCACACGAUCUUCUUCACUGUUUAUUCCUUCUUGUCCUCGUCCUUUUACUUAUUUAUUUAUUUAUUUUAUAUCAUGACAAGUAGAGUUAUUUUAAUGAUUUUAACGGUGGAGCUGUAUAGUGUAG
rnacentral:lncRNA from 1 species